rnacentral:rRNA from 1 species
UACAGAGGUCCCAAGCGUUGUCCGGAAUUAUUGGGCGUAAAGAGCUCGUAGGCGGUUUGUCGCGUCGGCUGUGAAAACUCGGGGCUCAACCCCGAGCCUGCAGUCGAUACGGGCAGACUAGAGUGCUGUAGGGGAGACUGGAAUUCCUGGUGUAGCGGUGAAAUGCGCAGAUAUCAGGAGGAACACCGGUGGCGAAGGCGGGUCUCUGGGCAGUAACUGACGCUGAGGAGCGAAAGCGUGGGUAGCAAACAGG